rnacentral:rRNA from 1 species
UACGUAGGGUGCGAGCGUUGUCCGGAAUUAUUGGGCGUAAAGCGCGCGCAGGCGGUCAUUUAAGUCUGGUGUUUAAUCCUGGGGCUCAACCCCAGUUCGCAUCGGAAACUGGAUGACUUGAGUGUAGGAGAGGAAAGUGGAAUUCCACGUGUAGCGGUGAAAUGCGUAGAGAUGUGGAGGAACACCAGUGGCGAAGGCGACUUUCUGGCCUAUAACUGACGCUGA